rnacentral:misc_RNA from 1 species
GAUGAAGAACGUAGCGAAAUGCGAUAAUUAAUGUGAAUUGCAGAAUUCCGUGAAUCAUCGAGUUUUUGAACGCAUAUUGCGCCCCUUGGUAUUCCGAGGGGCAUGCCUGUCCGAGCGUCAUUGCAACCCUUCAAGCACGGCUUGUGUGUUGGACGACCGCCCCAGUGUGGGCGGGUCCCAAAUGCAGUGGCGGCGCCGCGAUCCGGGUGCUCGAGUGCAUGGAAACCACGCGCUCGUUAGGCCCCGUCGGGCGCCGGCCGACCUAAUUAUCUUCGUUCUGGUUGACCUCGGAUCAGGUAGGAAUACCCGCUGAACUUAAGCAUAUCAAUAAGCGGAGGA